AGAGUGCCAAGUGGCACUCUGCGUGGCUAAUUUUGUGCACCUAAUCUAAUUAGGACAUUUAAUAGAGAUUUGAAUUAAAUGAGUAAAAUCUAAGGGGGGUUAAAAAUCAAAAUUAGGAUUCUAACAUCAUAAUUAAAUAGGUAAAACUGCUCAGCCUCAAUUUUUCCCCUAUUAACCUUCAAUUUCAGCAUGAAUUAUCAUUUAGCUUUUGAUUCUGGUAAAACAAAUUAGGGUUCUAUAAAAUUCUAGGGUUGUGUAAAACUCUAGGUUGUAUAAAAUUCUAGGGUUCAUGGAGAAAUGAAGAAGGAAAAAGGGGAAGAAAAUCUGAGAAAUAAUGAAAAAGUAAAGAAGAAAG